UCAUGUUGCAGCGGCAAUGGACAAUACAGAAAGGACUCUCGAUCAACUGAUCGAUUUUUGUUUACCUGCGAUCUGAAGUAUGAUGCUGAGGAAAAGUCUCCAUAUCCAACCGAUGGUGUACACUUGUUUACCGAAUUUUAGCGGUUUCAGAGACUCGAGGUUAUCAUUUUUUUUUAACCCAGGAACACAGUGACGUAGCGAGAAAAAACGGAACGUCUAUGCUCUAUAGCAGGGGUGAUCCGCAGAUGAUUUAUGCAUGUCGAUCCCCAUUUCGUUAGAAUUUAUUUUUAUGUAAUUAGUAGAUAAAUAACAAAAUAGCUGAUAAUUUUUAUCUCUAAUAUAAUAUUGUCUUUAUUUUGUUGUUAAUUCACGGAGUAAUACCACAACAGAGUUUAUCCUGGCAAUAUGGUAUUGACAAUAAUAUUAUAUUAGUCUCAAUAACAGCGUGAUGAAAAUUUAGUUUUUUAUUAUGUUUCUGUAUUGUUAAUAAUACCUAUUAGGUAAUUUAUAAUUAUACAUUUUUGUAAGGAAGUCGAUCCUCAAAGGGAAAAUAUAUUCUUAGUAGAUCUCAAGCGAAAAUAGUUCGGCCACCUCUGCUCUACACAGUCGAUAUACUCCAGCAGUAGUAAGUUCACCGAUAGCAAAAUGAAAAAAAAAAUAAAUAAUUUCGUCCGCUCUAAUGUCGAUCCGCACACAAUACACGUAUCGCAUAUAGUUUUUCAAUUUCGUUGACGUUCCAAAGUUUUUUUUUGUUUUUUUUUUUUACUUGUUCGUUACCGGUGUAUCGUCACCUGUGACACCACGGGCCACUUGCCAUCGAAGACCCGCGGAAACCGCCUGGCGAGGCGAUUAACGAUUUCUCCGUUUUGUUUUGGAACACUGCAGCGGCCCGAACAGCAACAACCGCAACAACAAUACCUAUACGUGUAUUAUAACGGUAUUAUCGCGGAGGAAAAACUCCGGGUGAAAAUCUCACGAGACACGGGGGCGUACUACGUCGUAAACAAAAGUAGGGAAAACACCCACAACGAUAAUAUUGCUAAUCAAUUGUACUAGGAAAGGUAUAGGGAAUGCAGUUGAAAUGAAAAAAACGCAUUUUACGUACACAACAUUUUUUUUUUUUUUUUUUUUUUUUACGUUUUUAUUAUUUAUAAUAUAAUAAUAUGUUUAGCAGUUAUUCGCUAUUUAUAAUUAUAAUAAUAAUAAUAAUAAUAAUAACUUAAUAACUUAAUAAUUAUAAUAAUAAUUUUCAUCACUAUAUAAUAUUUACGUACCGCAAUAUAAUAAUAAUAUUCAUAGUAAUAAUAUAUAUAGUAACAUUAACGAUUACAUAUUAUUAUUAUUAUAUUAUUACGUCGAUAUAAUAUCGUAGGUACCACUCUACACACGUGUCAGUUUACAUAAUUUAUAAUAAUAUCAUUAUUGUAGCAAUAAUGACAAUUUUAUAAUAUUAUCGUAUGGAUGAUUUUUUUUUUUUUUUUUUUU